CCUACGGGUGGCAGCAGUGGGGAAUAUUGGGCAAUGGGCGCAAGCCUGAACCAGCAACGCCGCGUGAAGGAAGAAGGCUCUCGGGUUGUAAACUUCUUUUCUCAGGGACGAAGAACGUGCCGGUACCUGAGGUAUAAGCCACGGCUAACAACGUGCCAGCAGCCGCGGUAAUACGUAGGUGGCAAGCGUUAUCCGGAUUUACUGGGUGUAAAGGGUGUGUAGGCGGGACUGCAAGUCAGAUGUGAAAACCACGGGCUCAACCUGUGGCCUGCAUUUGAAACUGUAGUUCUUGAGUACUGGAGAGGCAGACGGAAUUCCUGGUGUAGCGGUGAAAUGCGUAGAUAUUAGGAAGAACACCAGUGGCGAAGGCGGUCUGCUGGACAGCAACUGACGCUGAGGCGCGAAAGCGUGGGGAGCAAACAGGAUUAGAUACCCCUGUAGUC
rnacentral:rRNA from 1 species